rnacentral:rRNA from 1 species
GACGAACGCUGGCGGCGUGCUUAACACAUGCAAGUCGAACGGAAAGGCCCUGCUUUUGUGGGGUGCUCGAGUGGCGAACGGGAGAGUAACACGUGAGUAACCUGCCCUUGACUUUGGGAUAACUUCAGGAAACUGGGGCUAAUACCGGAUAGGAGCUCCUGCUGCAUGGUGGGGGUUGGAAAGUUUCGGCGGUUGGGGAUGGACACGCGGCUUAUCAGCUUGUUGGUGGGGUAGUGGCUUACCAAGGCUUUGACGGGUAGCCGGCCUGAGAGGGUGACCGGCCACAUUGGGACUGAGAUACGGCCCAGACUCCUACGGGAGGCAGCAGUGGGGAAUAUUGCACAAUGGGCGGAAGCCUGAUGCAGCAACGCCGCGUGCGGGAUGACGGCCUUCGGGUUGUAAACCGCUUUCGCCUGUGACGAAGCGUGAGUGACGGUAAUGGGUAAAGAAGCACCGGCUAACUACGUG